rnacentral:ncRNA from 1 species
CAGAGUAGGCGGCUGUGCGUAUUAAGUGUCCCGACGACGGGGAGUUGCGUCGGGAACGAAAUGCUUUGGAUUUAUCAAAGCUGCGGUACAGUCUCCGCAUCCCGCUG